GAUGAACGCUGGCGGCGUGCCUAAUACAUGCAAGUCGAGCGAACAGACGAGGAGCUUGCUCCUCUGACGUUAGCGGCGGACGGGUGAGUAACACGUGGAUAACCUACCUAUAAGACUGGGAUAACUUCGGGAAACCGGAGCUAAUACCGGAUAAUAUAUUGAACCGCAUGGUUCAAUAGUGAAAGACGGUUUUGCUGUCACUUAUAGAUGGAUCCGCGCCGCAUUAGCUAGUUGGUAAGGUAACGGCUUACCAAGGCAACGAUGCGUAGCCGACCUGAGAGGGUGAUCGGCCACACUGGAACUGAGACACGGUCCAGACUCCUACGGGAGGCAGCAGUAGGGAAUCUUCCGCAAUGGGCGAAAGCCUGACGGAGCAACGCGGCGUGAGUGAUGAAGGUCUUCGGAUCGUAAAACCCUGUUAUUAGGGAAGAACAAAUGUGUAAGUAACUAUGCACGUCUUGACGGUACCUAAUCAGAAAGCCACGGCUAACUACGUG
rnacentral:rRNA from 1 species